GAGACAGUAACAGUCUCACAGAGUGGUGUAAGGAUUAAUUAAUUAAUAUUUGGAAAGCAGUUUGUGCCUUGACGUCUUUGUGCCUUUGUUUACCCAUCAGUAAUGUCAGAGAUAAAACUGCCUCAUGGAAAGGUACAAGGAUUAAUUAAUUAUUUGAAAAGCAGUUUGAGAUCCUUGCAUGAAAGAUUCUAUGCGAGUCAAACAUAUCAUUAAAUACAUCUCCCAGUCCUCUGUGAAGUUGAAAUAAAGCUGGAGCUUCUUAGUCAUUCAAAUAAUUAAACCAUAAAUACUGUUUAUUUUAAUCUUGCCUUUAAAAAAAUAAUCUAAUCUAGGUAGUGAUACCAGCCAAAGAAUGAAAAAUGUUUCAAAUUCAAGAGACCUAUCAAUUUAAAGAGCUUGAUUCCUAAUUGCCUUUUGAUUUCUAUCAAUGGAAAGUGAGAGCAAUUGUAUUUACAAAUGCCUGCGAAAGCAUGGGGCAGCUGGGAGGACGCCCACAUCUCCUCUCCAGGGUUUCAGCCUUGCAUAUUCACAUGGAUACGGCAGCUGUACACAGCACUGCACGUGGGUUUUAGCACUACUCAAGCAGAGAUGUACAUGCCAAAUGCAGAAGUCCUCUCACACACUUCCCUGGGAAGCUGUUGUAUACUGGGCAUAAAAUAUGCGGUUUUUGCCUCUUUCUCCGUCUCUUAUUUUUCCACAUCUUUUUGUUUUACGAGCUAUAUAUGUAAAGAAGAUGUUUGCAGAAUCAAGGUCACAGGUUUUAAUUGAACGGGGCCUCUUUUAAGGUGUAACUACUGCUGGGAAUCUGCUAGUGUAGCAAUCUGCCGUACGGGGCACCCAAACCACCAUCCCACAUGAGGUUUCCUUCAGCUCCGAGGGACACGUCUCAGCCUUUUCAUGGCCUUCCACUUCUCUUUGCUCAGAGAAAAUUCUGCAUCAAUCUCUGAGUAACCCGUGUGGGAAUGUGGGGAGGAGGAAGAAAGGAUGUAAUUGCUUUCCUGAGUGCGUUCAUUAAAUGUCCUGCUGUCUUUUCCACGCUAGUCCAGCUUCUACUGAAUUUUCAUUAGACCAGAAGAGGCCUUUAGGGCCAUUUGAAAGUAACCAUCAGAUAAAAGCGACUGUCAUCCUCCUUCUGCAGCAGGCGAGGAAGCAGACAUUGGUAGACUGGUCACACAGGAAGGCGAGGAGGGACCCGAUGACUCAGAGCUUUUGACUCCCAGCCGUCAGCUUGAGACGCCGUUCUAGCCAGGCCACACCCCGAAAGCAAGUGAGACUAUCAUGGACAAAUCCUCCUCUGGCAGCAGGCCGAUCAGCUGGAGAGCCAUUCUCCAAUUCCCAACCUACUUCACACCAUGCAGAAUCACUGCGGGAAAAGCCUGACAAGGCUCAGACAACUCACAGUGCCAUACCUUUGCUCAUGACAGUAACGCCAGCCAAUUGCUAGCGUCUCGGUGUCUGGCCAAAGUGGAUGGCAGACGGCUGUCUGAAGCUGGAACCUGGGAAAAUGGGGAUAACAUCAGGAAAAAAACAAAAACAUCUUACGUACCUACUGCUCCCAUCUCAUCCUGCUCUGGGGACAUGCCUGCUUGCCGUGGACUGAGUCAGUGCCUGGUCUUGUGGUCCUUCAGUGCUCUGCAGAGCUACUGCGUGCUUGCAGACUUGGAGCUGUUAGCACGUCUCAUCCUACCUGCUGUGCACGAGGACUUGCCAGGACCGGCAGCUCCCUGGUGGGUCAGUGGGCUAGGAUGGAGGAACACCACCACUUGGGAAAGUUUGGUGGCUCCUCUGAAAAUCUUCCUGGACUUUUAUUGGAUCUUAAGUUAUCAUGAAGUAUCUGCCUGGAUCUGGGCUUUGAUUCUGCACUCCACUGCUUUAUCCCAGGCGGGCUGGGGUAGCGCCUUUCCCUCAGAGACCACAACUGACAGCACCCCUCCCAGCGAGAGGAAUGGAGCAGUGGCUGUGUUUCAAGGGUGGGGAGAUUGAAAGGGUGUUUGAGGCCACUGUCUGCAUGGGGGAGCUGCAGGGCUGGUGAGAAGGAUCAGAAAUCAUCUUAUUUCUCCACUCCCGGUUCCUAUCUCCAGCCAGGGGACUGGACUGCCACCCCCAGCUCUCCCAUCACCCCACUGCCUGGGUCCCACACUCACAGCUCUCCCCACCCAGCCUGUCUCUGCCCCGACCACCCCACCGCUCGCUCCCCAGACAGGUCCUGGCCCUUCAGCUGUGGUGUGGCAAAAUUCAAUUUUGCCUGCGUGGCUGAGAAACUCGGGCUCUUCAUAAUAAUCCCAGCUUGCCUGCAGGGAACAAGGUGGAAGCUAGACCACGUCAAGGCCUUUUAUUUCCUGCAAAGGUGUGUUUGCAAGACACUUGUGGAGAACACUAUGCAGAUGAGCGACAGUGGGAGAGGUAGGACCAGCUCCCCAGCAUGGGGAAAAUGGGGUAGAUCAAAUAGUUACCCAGAUUUCCAUCAGCUGUGGGGUUGGCCUGGUGACAGUUAGGCAGGCUUGCCAUCUUGCAGGGAUGGCUCACCUCUCUGCCAGCUGUAAUAAAUACGUCCACUUGAUGCCAACAGGACUGGGAUGAGCUUCACCCACAGAAGCAUUUUCUUCCCCUCCUGCUCCACUGGUGUUAGCGGCCCCAUCUCUGCAAAAUAAGAACAUGAAGAGAGCUUGAAAUUGCCAAGAGGAAAUCCAGUUUGAAUUUGUGCUGAGAGCUGGCCAAGGAAGGAGAAAACAUCAAUCUCAAAAGGUUUUUUUCAAGAUUUGGACAUUUGGCUUCAUCUUUCACUAUGUUCAACCACAAUCUGUCAGUUCCCAUCAAGAAAAAAAAAAGAGGGACAGCAGCCUAGCCAGUGCUGCCAUGGCUAGAAAGUUCAUGAAGCACAUGGGACAAAAAGGUUAGUCUGAACUCAUGACUUGAACAGAAAUCUACAGCCUGUAACUGAAUACUGUGGGGUUCCUUCCUCUCUUGCUGUGCUAGGAAAUUCUGGCCAAAAAGUUAGAAAGUGAAAUGCAAAAAAGAGCUCUUAAAAGUAAUAAUAAUCCGCCCCCCAAAACUGAAGCUAAACCGAGGAACUUCUAUGUUCCUCAGCUGUGCAGGAUUUAUGUUUGAGAAAAUUCCUGGUAGGGUAUAAAGAUUUUACUACUUUGAGCUUUGGAUGGUUUUCGCAUUAGCAGGCCACAAAUGAAUUAGGUGGAUGAUGCAAAAAUGACUGUCAAUAAAAUCUUUACACCAAUGCUUCA